GACGAACGCUGGCGGCGUGCCUAAUACAUGCAAGUAGAACGCACAGUUUAUACCGUAGCUUGCUACACCAUAGACUGUGAGUUGCGAACGGGUGAGUAACGCGUAGGUAACCUGCCUGGUAGCGGGGGAUAACUAUUGGAAACGAUAGCUAAUACCGCAUAAUAUUAAUUAUUGCAUGAUAAUUAAUUGAAAGGUGCAAUUGCACCACUACCAGAUGGACCUGCGUUGUAUUAGCUAGUAGGUGAGGUAACGGCUCACCUAGGCGACGAUACAUAGCCGACCUGGGAGGGUGGUCGGCCACACUGGGACUGGGACACGGCCCAGACUCCUACGGGAGGCAGCAGUAGGGAAUCUUCGGCAAUGGACGAAAGUCUGACCGAGCAACGCCGCGUGGGUGAAGAAGGGUUUCGGAUCGUAAAGCUCUGUUGUAAGAGAAGAACGGGUGUGAGAGUGGAAAGUUCACACUGUGACGGUAUCUUACCAGAAAGGGACGGUUAACUACGUG
rnacentral:rRNA from 1 species